AAGAAACUUAGUGAGCGCGCUCACAUACCCCACGUCCCCACAUUGUCAUUGGAGAAAUAAAAUAAGUGUAAGAAAAAAUAAAAUGCUCCGCAGGGCGCAGCUUGAUACGACCGCAGAGGUCGAACCCUGAACAGUUGGGGCAAGUAUGGACACAACAUUCAAGCUUGAUACAGCUCUGAAUUUGGAUUGUGAUUAAAUAUUUGACACAGCAUAGGUUUCUGACACAGAAUGAAUGUGGUCUAAGAACUUAAAAAUUUUAAAUUGGACAUUCACCUAUUAUGGUCCAAUAUCCAAAAUCUAAAUACAUGGUAAGAUUCAGCAUAUCAAAGAACCCCAAGAAUUCAAUUUUUGAUGAAAUCAAACAAAGUUUAAUUUUGGACCCUUUUGACCUCAAUGUGGACAAAGUUGAUAACGGGGCCCAAAAAUCAAAACUCUAAAUACAUGGUUAGAUUCAGCAUAUCAAAGAACCCCAUAUAUUCAAUUUUUGUUGAAAUCAAACAAAGUUUAAUUUUGGACCCCGACUUGGACCAACUUGAAAACUGGGCCCAUAAUCAAAAAUCUAAAUACAUGUUUAGAUUCAGAAUAUCAAAGAACCCUAAGAAUUAAAUUUUUGUUAAAAUCAAACUAAGUUUAAUUUUGGACCCUUUGGACCUUAAUGUAGACCAAUUUGAAAACGGAACAAAAAAUUAAGAAUCUAAAUACACGGUUAGAUUCGGCAUAUCAAAGAACCCCAAUAAUUCAAUUUUUGAUGAAAUCAAACAAAA